CGGAUCCUGCUGCUGCUGCUUCAGGGCACCCCCAGCAGCAGCUUGCUGCUGGGGAUGCAUUGAAACAGCCGCAGCCUCAAGGAGAAGGUGAUUUUGGGAUGCCACAUUUUCCCCCCUCCAAAACAAAGGGACUCAUAAUUUUCCAAGUUCUUCUUAACUGAGAUGCUCCAGCCCCAAGCAACAUCCAGCGAGGUGUCCGAGCCCUCGCCAUGCCCAGUGUGGGCUGGAGGCCAUGGGGAAAGUGACCAAGUCACAGCAGAGCGUUCGCUGACUCCACUUCGGCUGUGAUUGCCCAGCAAGGGGCUGCCUGCGGUUUUGUGCUCUGUGGACAGACAGGUUUUCAUCAGUGUAGACAGCAAACCUGAGAAGCUUUGGCACUUGGAAAGCAGCUUUAAUGCUGACGGAAUACACCCGUGUCCACACCCUGCACAUGACUGUGACAAUCUUUGUACAAGGUGUGCCUUGUCAGGGAUCAUUUGAAACUCCUAAUUUGUUGGUCAGCAUUGUCCUGAUAAAAUGUGUGGCAACGUUGUAUGGGAAGUUAUGAGGUUCCCCUGUAUGGUGUUAUUAACCCAUAUGCCAAGCCCACAGCCCUGCCCAGGCAGAAGUCAGGUCUGUCCUAAACAAAGAAAACAAUGUGCCUUAGUUUGCAUUUAAGUACUAAGCGGAGUUAUCGAGCAGGAAGGGAAAUAAAGGAAGCUCAAACGGAUGGGAAAAACCAGCAGGGAACAUCUUACCACACAGACUCUGUCUCCUGGUAUCCAGGUGGAAAUAUUUUUCAAGAGCGGUACUGAAACUAUAAAAAGGAGGGGCAAACACCCCGAGUCAGCCUUCUCUCUCUCCCUGCCCAUCACAUUCUCCGCACUUGAGAAGAUAAAAGGAAACAGCCGUUGGAUUCUGGGGGAAGGGUCCUGACCUGAAAAUAGUUUCUUAAGUAGAUACUAGGAAGUGUUUUAUCUUUAUUUUUCUUUUAACCAUUUCUGACUUUUAUGCCUCAUUACUUGUACUCACUUAAAAUCUCUCUUUGUAGUUAAUAAACUUGCUUUACUGUUUAUGUAA